AUAUGAGCAAACAUUCACGAGACUAGAGGCUGCACCGUUUUCUAGGAGAACGUGGUCUAUUUGAGUGAAAGUUUGUGCAACGGGUGAUGCUCGCGUUCUCUUAUUAAUGUUACGGCACAAGGAUUAUAACUAGCAUAAUAAGAUUUUCGUUGAGAUGGGAGUGUCUGGCUUAGUGUUAGAUGACUAACCAGUCGUAACGAAAGGUCGCUGGACAUAGAUUAUUUUAUAAUUUUUGCAUUCAUCCUGCAUGAAAACUAUCAAAAAAUCACCAUAUCUCUUUUAAAAUAGGCUUUUGUUGUUGAAUUAAGCGCCGCCAAAACCUUGACGAGGACCGUUGGAUUGCAGUUGCAAUUGUGCAUAAUUAAUGCAACCAAACGAUGAAAAAACAAAAAGAUACAGCUAACCUUUCGCUUCAUCUCCUAAGUCCAAGUAGAAAUGCUACAGAUGAAGAUUUCCAACUGUCACAGAAACGGACAAGAUCCUAUUUCCUUAUCGCGGAAGACUUACAACUUAAUUAGGGAUUUGGCUUACAUAUGCCGCAACGUACUUGAAAUCCGUCAAUGAGAAUUGAAUAUGACUGUCUAUAUUGGACCUACGUCGUGAAAUUUUCCCCUCCAAGAGUUUCGUUAAACUUCCAUUAAACAUAGAAAAUUCGGUAACAAUCGAAUUCAGUAUAGGAAAUGUCAAACAGAUGUCAUAGAAAAUGUCAUUCGAAAUUUGUUUUUGCGGAGCAAGUGAGAAGUGAGAUGCUGGAAACAUAAAACCGAAAUGUCAACUAUUGAAACGAGUCAACGCGAUUAUGGGCAAGAAUCAGUUUUGGCUGAUCUCUAAUUUACCUUCGUUAAAAUUGUGACAUUAUGAUAUGACCAUUAUAGUUCCAACUUAAAGCAGAGCUCUUUGCCACACAGCCCGACUUCUGAAAACCUAUUUGCAGGAAGGAGAAAAUGUCCGUUUGUUGGAUUGACCAGGUAAUAUUCUGACAUGAACCCAAUUGAAAACGUUUAAGAAUUGAUGGAAAGAGAAGCUGCUGAAGAUGUCAUCAUAACCAAAGUACAACCUUUGAACCAAUUGUCCAAGUGGAAAAUCCUCAUCCACAAAUAUGGCGAAAUCUCCAAUCAACAACAUACCGCGUGGACUUGAAGCUCUUAUAGUAGAAAAGGGUAGCUCAGUGAAAUAAUAAAAAUGUAUAUCAGUCUAUUGUAAUUUAUUUUAUGAUAAUGUAACUAAAUAUUGUUUAAAGGAAGGUCAACCUUCAUAAUAAAUUACAUUUGAAAUUUUGAUUAAAUUUAAUGUGAUUAAAUAUAUGGAACAUUGCUAACAUUGAA